UACGAAGGGGGCUAGCGUUGCUCGGAAUUACUGGGCGUAAAGCGCACGUAGGCGGCUUUCUAAGUCGGGGGUGAAAUCCUGGAGCUCAACUCCAGAACUGCCUUCGAUACUGGAGAGCUCGAGUCCGGGAGAGGUGAGUGGAACUGCGAAGUGUAGAGGUGAAAUUCGGUAGAAUUAUUCGCAAGAACACCUAGUGGCGAAAGG
rnacentral:rRNA from 1 species